AAAAAUCUUACCAUUAUAUAUUAUUAGAUUUACAAUUUAUGUUCAAGCAGGACAUAGCGGUUAGGCACUAAACCGUGUAGCGCCAAAAAUGGUGGUACUAUGAAUUGUUGCAGGGGGAGAGUCGCCCCAGAAAUAACAGGCUUGGCGGUACUCUGAAUACAGGGGUGCUUUAUUGACGCUAUAAGACAAUAAAGGUAAGUUUGUUGCGUCUAUUGUGGGGCAGAGUUCACAAGAACAAGCGAUAUAGCUUGAAAUAAAGCAAGU
rnacentral:ncRNA from 1 species